rnacentral:snRNA from 1 species
AUACUUACCUGGCAGGGGUGACACCAUGAUCAAGCAGGUGGUUUGCCUAAGGUGAGGCUCUGUCAUUGCACUCUGACCGUGCUGACCCUUGUGAAUGGCGAUGAGCCGUACAGUAGUGCAAUUAAGGAAAGAAAUGAUUGGUUAGAAUUCUAUCAUGUU